rnacentral:rRNA from 1 species
AUACGUAGGGGGCGAGCGUUGUCCGGAUUUAUUGGGCGUAAAGGGUGCGUAGGCGGCCUUGUAAGUCAGAUGUGAAAGAUCAUGGCUUAACUGUGGUAAGCAUUUGAAACUGCAGGGCUUGAGUACAGGAGAGGAGAGUGGAAUUCCUAGUGUAGCGGUGAAAUGCGUAGAUAUUAGGAGGAAUACCAGUGGCGAAGGCGACUCGCUGUGCUACUACUGACGCUGAGGCACGAAAGAGUGGGGAGCAAACAGGAUUAGAUACCCUGGUAGACCACGCUAUAAACGAUGAGUGCUAGGUGUCGGGGGUCAAACCUCGGUGCCGCAGUUAACACAUUAAGCACUCCGCCUGGGGAGUACGGCCGCAAGGCUGAAACUCAAAUGAAUUGGCGGGG